UACGUAGGGUGCAAGCGUUGUCCGGAUUUAUUGGGCGUAAAGAGCGUGUAGGCGGCCAGAUAGGUCAGCUGUGAAAACUCGAGGCUCAACCUCGAGACGCCGGUUGAAACCAUCUGGCUAGAGUCCGGAAGAGGAGAGUGGAAUUCCUGGUGUAGCGGUGAAAUGCGCAGAUAUCAGGAAGAACACCCGUGGCUAAGGCGGCUCUCUAGUACGGUACUGACGCUGAGACGCGAAAGCGUGGGGAGCGAACAGG
rnacentral:rRNA from 1 species